UACAGAGGGUGCGAGCGUUAAUCGGAAUUACUGGGCGUAAGGCGCGCGUAGGCGGUUGAGUAAGUCGGGUGUGAAAACUCUGGGCUUAACCCAGAGCCGCCACUCGAUGCUGCUCUGACUUGAGUACGGUAGGGGAGCAGGGAAUUCCUAGUGUAGCGGUGAAAUGCGCAGAUAUUAGGAGGAACACCGGUGGCGAAGGCGCUGCUCUGGGCCGAAACUGACGCUGAGGAGCGAAAGCGUGGGUAGCAAACAGG
rnacentral:rRNA from 1 species